GACCUGAUAGCAUAGUGGUUAGUGCCUCUGCUCAACUUCACCUGUGCUUCAAUAUUUGGCAGGUGAUCCCUGUUCAAUUCGGGGUCAGGUCG